AUGAAUCGACAUCAGUUGUCCUUUGUUUGCUCUUGAAUCAACAACAGCAGUUCCAACCAUUUUAGGAUGUUGAAGUUUGCAGCUUUCCUCCUUCUUGUGCUGGCCUUCGUCGCACAGGUAGCUCCACAAUGUCCUGAAACAACAACACCCUGGGAAGGACCUGACAACGUUUGGGGUUUCGGAGAUAAUAUGCCUACUUUUGGUUAAGAUAUCAUGUUUUCAACUGCAAAUGUUAUGGUCAAAAUAAAAAGGAAGAGUUCACUGUGCAAAA